GACGAACGCUGGCGGCGUGCUUAACACAUGCAAGUCGAACGGAAAGGCCCUGCUUUUGUGGGGUGCUCGAGUGGCGAACGGGUGAGUAACACGUGAGUAACCUGCCCUUGACUUUGGGAUAACUUCAGGAAACUGGGGCUAAUACCGGAUAGGAGCUCCUGCUGCAUGGUGGGGGUUGGAAAGUUUCGGCGGUUGGGGAUGGACUCGCGGCUUAUCAGCUUGUUGGUGGGGUAGUGGCUUACCAAGGCUUUGACGGGUAGCCGGCCUGAGAGGGUGACCGGCCACAUUGGGACUGAGAUACGGCCCAGACUCCAACGGGAGGCAGCAGUGGGGAAUAUUGCACAAUGGGCAGAAGCCUGAUGCAGCAACGCCGCGUGCGGGAUGACGGCCUUUGGGUUGUAAACCGCUUUCGCCUGUGACGAAGCGUGAGUGACGGUAAUGGGUAAAGAAGCACCGGCUAACUACGUG
rnacentral:rRNA from 1 species